rnacentral:rRNA from 1 species
UACGAAGGGGGCUAGCGUUGCUCGGAAUCACUGGGCGUAAAGGGUGCGUAGGCGGGUUUUUAAGUCAGAGGUGAAAUCCUGGAGCUCAACUCCAGAACUGCCUUUGAUACUGAAAGUCUUGAGUAUGGGAGAGGUGAGUGGAACUGCGAGUGUAGAGGUGAAAUUCGUAGAUAUUCGCAAGAACACCAGUGGCGAAGGCGGCUCACUGGCCCAUUACUGACGCUGAGGCACGAAAGCGUGGGAAGCAAACAGG